GAUCCAGGCUCAGGAUGAACGCUGGCGGCGCGCCUAACACAUGCAAGUCGAACGGCACCUAUCUUCGGAUAGAAGCGAGUGGCGAACGGCUGAGUAACACGUGGAGAACCUGCCCCCCUCCCCCCGGGAUAGCCGCCCGAAAGGACGGGUAAUACCGGAUACCCCGGGGUGCCGCAUGGCACCCCGGCUAAAGCCCCGACGGGAGGGGAUGGCUCCGCGGCCCAUCAGGUAGACGGCGGGGUGACGGCCCACCGUGCCGACAACGGGUAGCCGGGUUG
rnacentral:rRNA from 1 species